rnacentral:tRNA from 1 species
GCCGGGGUGGUGUAGUGGUUAGCAUGGGGGCCUGUGGAGCCCUUGGUCGUGGGUUCGAAUCGCUAAGCGAAAAUCCCACCCCCGGCC